AUGCUGUUAUCAUUCAAAGCUCAAAGUGAAUCUAACAUCAACAAGAAUUGCCAACAUGAAAUGGAAGAAAAAAUAAAAUACACAAAUGACAAAAAUAGAUUACCUAUGAGACCAUUCUUCAUACUAUACAUACAUAGUUACAUACCGAUGUUAGCUUUUUAUGGUGAUUAUUGUGAGUGCACAUCUCAUGCACCUUUUAUGUUUCAAUUAUUUAAUUUCCCUACUUUAGGAUAA